rnacentral:rRNA from 1 species
UGCAGUCGAACGAACCUUCGGGUUAGUGGCGGACGGGUGAGUAACGCGUGAGAAUCUGCCCUCAGGAGGGGGAUAACGGUUGGAAACGACCGCUAAUACCCCAUAUGCCGCGAGGUGAAAUGAAUUUCGCCUGAGGAUGAGCUCGCGUCUGAUUAGCUAGUUGGUGGGGUAAAGGCUUACCAAGGCAUCGAUCAGUAGCUGGUCUGAGAGGAUGAUCGGCCACACUGGGACUGAGACACGGCCCAGACUCCUACGGGAGGCAGCAGUGGGGAAUUUUCCGCAAUGGGCGAAAGCCUGACGGAGCAACGCCGCGUGAGGGAUGAAGGCCUCUGGGCUGUAAACCUCCUUUAUCAAGGAAGAAGAUCUGACGGUACUUGAUGAAUAAGCCACGGCUAAUUCCGUGCCAGCAGCCGCGGUAAUACGGGAGUGGCAAGCGUUAUCCGGAAUUAUUGGGCGUAAAGCGUCCGCAGGCGGCCCUUCAAGUCUGCUGUUAAAAAGUGGAGCUUAACUCCAUCAUGGCAGUGGAAACUGUUGGGCUUGAGUGUGGUAGGGGCAGAGGGAAUUCCCGGUGUAGCGGUGAAAUGCGUAGAUAUCGGGAAGAACACCAGUGGCGAAGGCGCUCUGCUGGGCCAUCACUGACGCUCAUGGACGAAAGCCAGGGGAGCGAAAGGGAUUAGAUACCCCUGUAGUCCUGGCCGUAAACGAUGAACACUAGGUGUCGGGGGAAUCGACCCCCUCGGUGUCGUAGCCAACGCGUUAAGUGUUCCGCCUGGGGAGUACGCACGCAAGUGUGAAACUCAAAGGAAUUGACGGGGGCCCGCACAAGCGGUGGAGUAUGUGGUUUAAUUCGAUGCAACGCGAAGAACCUUACCAGGGUUUGACAUCCUGCGAAUCUCUUGGAAACGAGAGAGUGCCUUCGGGAACGCAGUGACAGGUGGUGCAUGGCUGUCGUCAGCUC